CGGGAAGUGGCGCAGUUUGGCAGCGCGCAGCGUUCGGGACGCUGAGGCCGCGGGUUCAAAUCCCGCCUUCCCGACCA
rnacentral:tRNA from 1 species